CCCUUCUCAAAAUUAAGAAGUCUGUAGUUAUCUGAACUAUGAUAUAUGGAACACCAACCUAAAUUAUUCUCGUGGAAUCAUACAGUAUACUAGAUUUAAACCUACACUGUAUGUAUAUAUUGCCUGUUUCUGAUUAUUCAUUCAUUCUUUCAUUCUUUUUUUUAAAAAAUGUAGGUAAAUGGGCAAUGUGCUGGCCACACAGCUAUGCAAGCUGCUAGUCAGAAUGGUCAUGUUGACAUUUUGAAGUUACUUUUGAAGCAAAACGUGGAUGUUGAAGCAGAGGAUAAAGAUGGUGAUAGAGCAGUUCACCAUGCAGCUUUUGGAGAUGAAGGCGCUGUUAUAGAAGUACUACAUCGAGGUAGUGCUGAUUUGAAUGCUCGAAACAAGCGCCGACAGACACCACUUCAUAUUGCUGUCAAUAAAGGUCAUCUUCAAGUUGUGAAGACUUUAUUGGACUUUGGCUGUCAUCCCAGUCUCCAGGAUUCUGAAGGUGAUACCCCUCUUCAUGAUGCAAUAAGUAAGAAACGUGAUGAUAUCCUAGCAG
rnacentral:sRNA from 1 species